rnacentral:rRNA from 1 species
GGAUUAGUGGCGAACGGGUGAGUAACACGUGGGCAAUCUGCCCUGCACUCUGGGACAAGCCCUGGAAACGGGGUCUAAUACCGGAUAUGACUGUCCAUCGCAUGGUGGAUGGUGUAAAGCUCCGGCGGUGCAGGAUGAGCCCGCGGCCUAUCAGCUUGUUGGUGAGGUAGUGGCUCACCAAGGCGACGACGGGUAGCCGGCCUGAGAGGGCGACCGGCCACACUGGGACUGAGACACGGCCCAGACUCCUACGGGAGGCAGCAGUGGGGAAUAUUGCACAAUGGGCGAAAGCCUGAUGCAGCGACGCCGCGUGAGGGAUGACGGCCUUCGGGUUGUAAACCUCUUUCAGCAGGGAAGAAGCGAAAGUGACGGUACCUGCAGAAGAAGCGCCGGCUAACUACGUGCCAGCAGCCGCGGUAAUACGUAGGGCGCAAGCGUUGUCCGGAAUUAUUGGGCGUAAAGAGCUCGUAGGCGGCUUGUCACGUCGGUUGUGAAAGCCCGGGGCUUAACCCCGGGUCUGCAGUCGAUACGGGCAGGCUAGAGUUCGGUAGGGGAGAUCGGAAUUCCUGGU